rnacentral:lncRNA from 1 species
AGAUGAAUCGAAGGGCGGAAUGUGCUUUUCUGGGCACACAAAACUUCCCUGAAAUGUCUGGCACUUCCAACCUGUUCUCAUGCUAUGAUCAAUAUUUUCUGCUAUUUUCCGUCUAUCCAGCUAUAUGUGAAAAUCUGGAGCAAGGGUUAUUGAGCCAAAUUUCAUCAUCUGGCAGGGAAGUACGCUCAGGGAGCAGCGAGCUGUUGACAAUGCAGAGAGGCCCUGAGAAAGGCCUUAACAGUACAAACCAAGCAUUAGGAAGGGACCAUAAUUUUCCCUGGCUGAGAGAAGAUUCAUUCUAUUUAACUGCCAAUCCAUGUGGUGUGCUUCAAAGGAAAAAUGGAUUAUGGAAAAGUUGGCCACAGAUUAUUGGCACGUAUCUCUAAAAUGGGAAUAUGUCAGAUGAGAAGUUCUUCGGAGAGAUGUGAUGGCUGAUGUCAAAUCCUGCUCACCCAUUUUCCAUGACCACGGCUCUGAAGCUCACUCCCAUCCUGAAUGUCCUUCCCUGCUUCUCUGAUGCUGUUACCUUUCCUGAGCCAAGUCUUUACUCUUUGAAGAUGUCAUUAAAACCACCUCAAGGUCUCUCUGCCUCAAACUGUGUGAUUUUCAGCAAUUGCUUAAAGGUAAAGCUAAACAAUGACAUAACUUGGUGCUACGAGGCGGUUAAUUAAGCAAUGUGAAGAGCAAUGAAUUAAUGUGCUAUCCAUGUAAGUGUCUUUCUGAUAACUACUUGGUUUGCAAUUAUGCCUGGUUUAAUCUGAUGAUAAUACCUAAGAAGUUGUGGCUUCUUAAAAUGACCUUUGUUUUGGGAAAAACACGGGUGUCUGUGCUUUACUAAGG